UUGCAGCGGAUGGUGUCGCCGAAUUAUUCAUCGGAGAAGAGCUCUUUCACAGAUGAAGGCAACCGGUUGUCUCUCUGACCAUCAAUGAGGGGCUAGGGUCACUGGAUUAUUCAUGCCCUCCAACAGAUGAAGGAGACCGGUUUAUUCUCUGACCAUUAAUUCCGGCGUGGAAGCAACUAUUCGUAGACUUCUAUUGGAAACCAACAACGUUUUAUCGGAAAUGAUGAAUAGCCGCACUGUAAUUUA